rnacentral:rRNA from 1 species
UACGUAGGGGGCAAGCGUUAUCCGGAAUUACUGGGUGUAAAGGGUGCGUAGGCGGCACGCCAAGUCAGUUGUGAAACCCGUAGGCUCAACCUACGGCUUGCAAUUGAAACUGGCGAGCUAGAGUACAGGAGAGGAAAGCGGAAUUCCUAGUGUAGCGGUGAAAUGCGUAGAUAUUAGGAAGAACACCGGUGGCGAAGGCGGCUUUCUGGACUGAAACUGACGCUGAGGCACGAAAGCGUGGGGAGCAA